UACGUAUGGAGCAAGCGUUAACCGGAUUUACUGGGCGUAAAGGGAGCGUAGACGGUUAAGCAAGUCUGAUGUGGAAGGUGUGGGCUCAACCCGCAAACUGCAUUGGAAACUGUUUAACUGGAAUGUCGGAGAGGUAAGUGGAAUUCCUAGUGUAGCGGUGAAAUGCGUAGAUAUUAGGAGGAACACCAGCGGCGAAGGCGGCUUACUGGACGAUAACUGACGUUGAGGCUCGAAAGCGUGGGGAGCAAAC
rnacentral:rRNA from 1 species